GGAGUUAGCCGGUGCUUCUUCUGUGAGUGAUGUCCUUCCUGCCGGCUAUUAACCCGCAGGCCUUCUUCCUCACUGAAAGUGCUUUACAACCCGAAGGCCUUCUUCACACACGCGGCAUGGCUGGAUCAGGGUUGCCCCCAUUGUCCAAUAUUCCCCACUGCUGCCUCCCGUAGGAGUCUGGGGCGUGUCUCAGUCCCAGUGUGGCUGAUCAUCCUCUCAGACCAGCUACGGAUCGUCGCCUUGGUGAGCCGUUACCUCACCAACCAGCUAAUCCGACAUAGGCUCAUCCGAUAGCGCGAGGCCCGAAGGUCCCCCGCUUUCCCCCGUAGGGCGUAUGCGGUAUUAGCCUGGGUUUCCCCAGGUUAUCCCCCACUACCGGGCAGAUUCCUAUGCAUUACUCACCCGUCCGCCGCUCGCCACCAGGGAGCAAGCUCCCCGUGCUGCCGCUCGACUUGCAUGUGUUAGGCCUGCCGCCAGCGUUCAAUCUGAGCCAUGAUCAAACUCUGA
rnacentral:rRNA from 1 species